rnacentral:lncRNA from 1 species
AGCCGCGAGAAGACAAUGGGAGAAAACCCUAAACACUUGUGGGUUGAGACAGCGUGAAGGAGACUGGGCUCCACUCUCGGCUUCAUGCACAAAUACUAUAAAGCCCAGUUCACACUUCCGCAUCAGACAACGUAAGAAACAAAACCAAAAAAAAAAACACAGAACAACCCAGGUGUUGACAUGUGUCGAGAUUUGUGCUCUCUUACCUGAUAACGUGGCUUAAUGAGGAGAGAG